rnacentral:sRNA from 1 species
AAGGCUGCACUGCUCACGCCUAUGCAUGCCUGGACUACACAGCUCCAGAAGCUGAAGGCACGCUGCAUGACUGUGUUCGGAGAUACCCUCCUAUGUUCAGCUGCCAUCAUCUACCUGGGUCCCUUCCCACCAUUGCGGCGCCAAGAGCUACUGGACAUGUGGUUAGCUCUGUGUAGGGGCUUUCAGGAGGCUCUGGGCCCAGACGAUGUGGCACAGGCACUGAAGCGGAAGCAAAAAUCUGUCAGCAUACCACCAAAGACCCCCCUGCUGGCUACACACUCUCCCUUCAGUAUUCUGUCCUUGCUGAGCUCUGAAUCUGAACAGUACCAGUGGGACGGAAACCUGAAGCCACAGGCAAAGUCGGCCCACCUGGCAGGCUUGCUUCUGCGAAGCCCCACCCACUACAGUAGUUGCCGUUGGCCUCUGCUGCUUGACCCCAGCAACCAGGCCCUCAGCUGGUUGGACCCGCUGCCUCUGGAAGAGAAUAGAUGUUUUGCACCAGCCCCCACUGAGGGUGGAGGGAAAGGCCUCAUGAGAAAUCAAAACAGAGAGAGUAAAAUGGACAUGAAAGAGGAAGAUGAUGAGAGUGAAGAGAGUAAUGAGGCCAAGGACCAGACAAAAGAGCAGAAGGCAGAGGAAAGAAAAAAUGAGCAGGAGAAAGAGCAAGAGGAAAAUGAAGAGAAAGAGGAGGAGAAAACAGAGAGCCAGGAGUCAAAGCCAGCCUAUGAAACUCAGCUUCCAUCUGUUCCCUACCUUAGUGUUCUUUCAGGUGCUGACCCAGAGCUGGGUUCUCAGCUCCAGGAGGCAGCUGCUUGUGGUGAGAACUGGUCCCCACCCACCCUGGCUCCUUUUUCACUUGCCCCAUUCUGUGACUCCACAGGCCUCCCACACCUCAGUCUAACUUCAGUUCCCAUCCUUCAUCCCGGGCACUAACUAUAUUGAAGCGUCUUGUGGGAACCCUCCUAUCAGCCACAGGGAAGCUGGUCAGAGCUAGACCUCGUGCCUGGGGAAUGGGGAUCAUGGGUGCUGGCAUUGUGGGUAGGGUGCCUUUGCCUCCCUCUCACAGGCCUGCCUGUGCUACUGACCAACGUGGAGCUGGGUCUAGGGUGCCAAGAACUGCAAUGGCUGCUGCAGCGGGAGCAGCUGAGUCCACCCCAGGUGCAGCCUGGCUUCUGUCUAUAUCUCAGCACCACCCUCUCCCUCUGUGCCAUGGAAAAAGGUGAGGCCCAGAGGGCAAAUUGCCAGCACAGUUGUGUGGACACACUAGGCCCUCAGCACCAGCCCUAAGAGGGCUUCACUCAACCUGGCCCAGAGCAGGCACAGGUCUAUAGCAGGGAGCCACACUCCCUGUCUACUGUACCCCCUGGCUCUGCCAAGGGGAAGAGGUUAAGCAUGUCGCAUGUUACCCCAAGUGCUAGGUUGUGAACUGCUAAAGGGGCUGAAUGUGCUGGAUCUGGGCCUGAACAUGGAAAUACUGGAAGAACAGAUGCUGCAUGAAAUCUUGUGCAGAGAAUGUCCUGAGCUCGAGACCCGCUGGCAGGACCUAAAGAUCAGAGCCCUAGAUACCUGCAAGGCUGUGGAGGCUGCUGAGGAGCGGCUGCUGACGAUGCUGCUGUUCCAGAAUCCAAAGCAUCAGAAGCCAGCCAAGUUUCUGCGGAACAUGGUGAGGGCCCAGGGAAAGCUAUGCCAGCUGCGUGCUCAUUGUGAAGAGCUAGAAGGGCAGAAACUACAGGAGAUGGUAUCGUGGGCACCCUAUCGGCCUGUGGUUUGGCAUGGAAUGGCCAUGGUAAAGGCCCUAAGCCAACUGCAGAACCUGCUACCACUUUUCUGUAUGAGCCCAGAGAAUUGGCUGGCAGUCACCAAGCAGGCUCUGGACAGCAUGAAGCCACGUGAGAUUAAUCACGGGGAGGACCUGGCCAGCCAUCUACUGCAACUGAGAGCACACCUGACCCGCCAGCUGCUGGGCAGCACCGUGACUGCGCUGGGCCUUACCCAAGUACCCUUGGUGGGUGCAUUGGGCGCUUUGGCUCUGCUGCAAGCGAUAGGGAAAGCAUCAGAGCUGGAAAGAUUGGCACUCUGGCCUGGACUAGCAGCCUCUCCCAGCACAGUCCACAGCAAGCCAGUCUCAGAUGUGGCUCGACCGGCCUGGCUUGGGCCAAAAGCCUGGCGUGAAUGUGAGAUGUUAGAGCUGCUGCCCCCAUUUGUUGGCCUGUGCGCCUCCCUGGCAGGCCACCCCAGUGCUUGGCAGGCUUACCUGUCACUAUCAUCCACAGUGCUGGGUCCUGCACCUGGGCCUGGGCCUGAGCCACUCAGCCUCCUCCAGAAGCUGAUCCUGUGGCGCGUUCUGCGACCUGAGUGCCUGGCAGGUGCCCUGGCAGACUUCACCACUAGCCUCCUGGGUCGGCCCCUGGAUGAAAACAUGUGCGCUCCCACCAUGCCCUUUAAACACAGUCAGGCUACUCAGCCCAUGCUGAUCUUGUUGCCACCGCCUGGCCACCCCUCAGCCACUCUGCAUCCUCUGACUGUCAUCCAGAAACUGGCUGCCAAGUAUCAGCAGGGGCAGAAGCAACUGCAGGUGAUAGCCCUGGGCUCUGAAGCCUGGGACCCAGUCUCAGUUGUGGUCAGCACUCUAUCCCAGGCUAUGUAUGAGGGGCACUGGCUGGUGCUGGACAACUGUCAUCUGAUGCCCCAUUGGCCAAAAGAGCUGCUACAGCUCUUGCUGGAACUGUUAGGCAGAGCCAAGGUGUUUGCAGACCUGGAAUCAGAACAGCUUUUAGACCAACCUGAAAGCAGGAAUGUAAGCACUGUUCACAGAGAUUUUCGUCUUUGGCUUAUUGUGCCUGCAGAGUCUAGUGCUUCUUUGCCAGCUGUGCUGACUCAGCACUCCAUGCCUAUUUUCUGGAACCAGUCCCUGGAGCUGGGCCAUGUUUUGAUUGACGGUGUGGAGCUAGCCCAGCAAGUACUCUACAUGCAACCCCCCACCCAGGCACUACCUCUGCUCCUCCUCCAUGGCCUCCUGCUACACCGGCAGCUCUAUGGAACAAGGCUGCAGGCACACAGGGGGCGCUGGAGUCAAGUGACUCUAACCCAGGUUCUUCAGACCCAAGAUCAGCUGUGGGCAAGUCUUAGCAAUCCCUGUGCUGCCAUGCAAGAGCUGGCUGCUUCAGUUUUCUACGGGGGUCCUCUGGGGGACACUGAGGACAGGGAGGCCCUGAUUAGCCUCACACAAGCCUGCCUGAGCCCCAGUAGCGGCAGCUGGGUCCAGCCACACACACCCCAGUCUUUGCUGGCCACACUCAUGCCCCUCCCAGAGCUAAGGGAGCUGGAUGCAAUGGCAGAGUGCAAGGCCCAGAUGCACCUACUGCCCUCACCACCUGAACCCCGGCUCUGCGGACUGAGUGAGGGCCCCCAAGCCUGGCUGUUGCGACGCCAGAGUCGCGCUCUCUUGAGUGCGCUGCAGCGGAGUUCACCCGUGUGGGUUCCUGAGUCUCGAAGAGGCGCCCAGCUCGCGGAAAGGCGACUGCGGCAACGCCUAGUGCAAGUCAACCGGAGGCUGGCGUCACUGCAGGAUCUGCUGACCCACGUGGUUCGCCAAGACGAGUCUGGCGCCCCGUGGUCAGUGCUGGGGCCGAAUGAGCGGCGGCCUCUGGAGGGCGUCUUAGAGACCGAGGCUUUAGAACUGAGCCAGUUGGUGGGCACGCUACAACGCGACCUUGAUUGCCUGUUGCAGCAGCUGAAGGGCGCACCCCCGUGCCCCUCCCGCCGCUGUGCUGCGGUGGCCCACGCUCUCUGGACUGGCCGCCUACCCUUGCCUUGGCGACCUCAUGCGCCGGCCGGUCCGCAGCCGCCCUGGCACUGGCUGCGACAGUUGUCGCGCCGUGGGCAACUGUUGGUUCGUUACUUGGGCGUGGGUGCGGACGCGAGCAGUGAUGUACCAGAGCGCGUCUUCCACCUGUCAGCCUUUCGCCACCCGCGCCGCCUGCUGCUGGCCUUGCGUGAGGAAGCUGCCCUGGACCAGAAUAUGCCUAGCUCGAAUUUCCCUGGUAGCCGAGGCUCGGUCUCCAGUCAGCUCCAGUAUAAACGUCUGGAGAUGAACAGCAACCCUCUGCACCUCAGGGUGGAGAAUGGUCCAAACCCCAUGGUUCCAGAGAGAGGGCUGCUGCUGAUCGGGCUACAGGUCCUACAUGCGGAGUGGGACCCAAUAGCUGGAGCCUUGCAGGACGGUCCUUCCAGCCAACCCAGCCCUCUGCCUCCCAUCAGCAUCAGCACACAGGCCCCGGGCACCAGUGACCUGCCACCCCCAGCCGACCUGACUGUGUACUCCUGUCCUGUGUACAUGGGAGGGCCCCUUGGCACCGCUAAGCUGCAGAGCAGGAACAUCGUGAUGCAUCUGCCCUUACCCACCAAGCUCACCCCCAACACCUGUGUCCAAAGGAGGGUCCACGUGUGCAGCCCACCCCUGUCUUGAGCACAUCUACCAAAAUAAAGCUGUAGUGAUUCCAUG